rnacentral:rRNA from 1 species
GACGAGGGGUCCAAGCGUUGUUCGGAAUCAUUGGGCGUAAAGCGCGUGUAGGCGGCCCUGCAAGUCGGAUGUGAAAUCCCACGGCUCAACCGUGGAAGUGCAUUCGAAACUGCAGGGCUAGAGUCCUGGAGAGGAAGGUGGAAUGCUUGGUGUAGAGGUGAAAUUCGUAGAUAUCAAGCGGAACACCGGUGGCGAAGGCGGCCUUCUGGACAGUGACUGACGCUGAGACGCGAAAGCGUGGGGAGCAAACAGG